rnacentral:rRNA from 1 species
UUUUUGGAGAGUUUGAUCCUGGCUCAGGACGAACGCUGGCGGCGUGCCUAAUACAUGCAAGUCGAGCGGACAGAUAAGG